AUGCAAGUCGAAUGCCGAUUUAUCGGCAUGGCAGACGGCUGAGUAAUACAUGGGAAUCUACCUCAAACUCGAGAAUAGCCCAUCGAAAGGUGGUGUAAUACUCGAUAGUUCCGUUUACGGUAAAGCUCCGGCGGUUUGAGAUGAGCCCAUGUCCUAUCAGGUUGUUGGUGGGGUAAUUGCCUACCAAGCCUAUGACGGGUAGCUGGUUUGAGAGGAUGAUCAGCCAGACUGGGACUGCGAUACGGCCCAGACUCCUACGGGAGGCAGCAACUAGGAAUCAUGCGCAAUGGACGAAAGUCUGACGCUGCGACGUCGCGUGAGGGAUGAAGGUCUUCGGAUCGUAAACCUCUUUUAUCUGGGAACAAGUUCUGAGUGUACCAGAUGAAUAAGUGCCUGCCAACCACGUGCCAGAAGCAUCGGUAAUGCGUGGGGCACGAGCGUUAUCCGGAUUUACUGGGCGUAAAGAGAUGCGUAGGCGCCUUUUUAAGUCACUUGUAAAAUCUCCCCGCUCAACGGGGAAACUGCAAGUGAUACUGAAUUGGUUGAGUCAAGUAGAGGAGAGGGGAAUUCCUGGUGGAGCGGUUAAAUGCGUUGAUAUCAGGAGGAAUACCAAGUGCGAAGGCACCUCUCUGGACUUGUACUGACGCUAAGGCUCGAAAGUGUGGGGAGCAAAACGGAUUAGAUACCCGUGUAGUCCACACUGUAAACGAUCCCUGCUAGAUGU
rnacentral:rRNA from 1 species